rnacentral:misc_RNA from 1 species
CUGAGAAUGAUAUGCCAUCUGGGAGCAUUCCUCUGGCUUGCAGAGUUUGUUUUAUAAGCUUCAAUACAGUGACACCAGUGUAGCAACAAAAGAGUUGACAAAGUCUUUUGGCUGGGACACAUAUGAUUCUUUCAUGCAGCAUGAUGUGCAAGAACUUAAUAGGGUUCUUUGUGAGAAGCUUGAAGAUAAAAUGAAGGGAACAGUUGUGGAGGGCACAAUACAACAGUUAUUUGAAGGACACCAUAUGAAUUAUAUUGAAUGCAUCAAUGUGGACUAUAAGUCGACAAGAAAGGAAUCAUUUUAUGAUCUUCAGCUUGAUGUCAAAGGCUGUCGAGAUGUUUAUGCUUCUUUUGACAAAUAUGUGGAGGUGGAACGCCUUGAGGGUGAUAAUAAAUAUCAUGCUGAGCAACAUGGGUUACAGGAUGCUAGGAAGGGUGUCCUCUUUAUCGACUUUCCCCCUGUUCUUCAACUUCAGUUGAAACGAUUUGAGUAUGAUUUUAUGAGGGAUACCAUGGUAAAGAUAAAUGAUCGCUAUGAGUUCCCUUUGCAACUUGAUCUUGAUAGAGAGGAUGGUAAAUAUUUAUCUCCUGAGGCAGACAGAAGCGUACGCAACCUUUACAUGCUUCACAGUGUUUUAGUUCAUAGUGGUGGUGUGCACGGUGGGCACUAUUAUGCAUAUAUCCGGCCGACCCUCGCAGAUCAAUGGUUUAAAUUUGAUGAUGAGCGGGUAACAAAGGAGGAUGUGAAAAGGGCACUAGAGGAGCAAUAUGGUGGUGAGGAAGAG